ACAUAGAAGACGUUCCACAGGAUCCCCCGCAGGCUGAGAUUUCCACCGGCACAGUAGACCUGCAGUUAUUCACCUCUAGGUAGGUGGUGGUGUUAGUCACAUCACAGUGACUACGUAAAGUGCCUGUUUAGGUAGACAGAGUUAAGGAGGACAUUUUAAAGUGGUGAGUUUCCCCCUUACUAUGUAAAGUGCACAGACUUUGAGCAACUUGAAAAAGUAUAUCACAUCAUAUCUGUAUUCAGUUUCAUCCACAGAAACUCAACAUUGAUUUAUUAAGUCAUGAGAGGUUAUGUUCAUAAGAGGUUAUGUUCAUAAGAGGUUAUGUUCAUAAGAGGUUAGGUUCAUAAGAGGUUAUGUUCAUAAGAGGUUAUAUUUAUAAGAGGUUAUGUUCAUAAGAGGUUAUAUUUAUAAGAGGUUAUGUUCAUAAGAGCUUAUGUUCAUAAGAGGUUAUGUUCAUAAGAGGUUCAUAAGAGGUCAGGUUCAUAAGAGGUUAUACAAAAAAUACAACUUCACACAAUCAUGAAUAUUUAUAAAUGAAUCAGUAUAUUGUUUUAACUUACAGGUUGUGCAACAUCCAUUUGCAUCAGUUUUCUCAGUUCCC
rnacentral:lncRNA from 1 species